GCCAGGCAUGGUGGUGCGUGUCUGUAAUCCUAGCUACUGGAAGGCUGAGGCAGGAGAAUCACUUGAACCCAGGAGGCAGAGGUUGCAGUGAGCCCAGAUCGCGCCACUGGACUCCAGCCUGGGUGACAGAGUGAGAUUCUGUCUUUA
rfam:Nomascus leucogenys chromosome 9, whole genome shotgun sequence.